rnacentral:rRNA from 1 species
AUUGAACGCUGGCGGCAGGCCUAACACAUGCAAGUCGAACGAGUGGCGGACGGGUGAGUAACACGUGGGUAACCUACCCAUCAGAGGGGGAUAACACUUGGAAACAGGUGCUAAUACCGCAUACUGAUGGAUGGACCCGCGGUGCAUUAGCUAGUUGGUGGGGUAAAGGCCUACCAAGGCGACGAUCCGUAACUGGUCUGAGAUGAUGAUCAGUCACACUGGAACUGAGACACGGUCCAGACUACUACGGGAGGCAGCAGUGGGGAAUAUUGGACAAUGGGCGAAAGCCUGAUGCAGCGACGCCGCGUGGGGGAUGAAGGCUUUCGGGUUGUAAACCUCUUUCGCUAUCGAACGGGUAGGUGGAGAAGAAGCGCCGGCUAACUACGUGCCAGCAGCCGCGGUAAUAC